rnacentral:rRNA from 1 species
UGGGGAAUAUUGCACAAUGGGCGCAAGCCUGAUGCAGCGACGCCGCGUGAGGGAUGACGGCCUUCGGGUUGUAAACCUCUUUCAGUAGGGAAGAAGCGUAAGUGACGGUACCUGCAGAAGAAGCGCCGGCUAACUACGUGCCAGCAGCCGCGGUAAUACGUAGGGCGCAAGCGUUAUCCGGAAUUAUUGGGCGUAAAGAGCUCGUAGGCGGUUUGUCGCGUCUGCUGUGAAAGACCGGGGCUCAACUCCGGUUCUGCAGUGGGUACGGGCAGACUAGAGUGCAGUAGGGGAGACUGGAAUUCCUGGUGUAGCGGUGAAAUGCGCAGAUAUCAGGAGGAACACCGAUGGCGAAGGCAGGUCUCUGGGCUGUAACUGACGCUGAGGAGCGAAAGCAUGGGGAGCGAACA